AAAGCUCAAAUUUGAAAUCUGCGUAAGCCGAGUUGUAAUUUGAAGAUGGCUACUUUGGUAAUGGCUCUUGUCUAUGUUCCUUGGAACAGGACGUCACAGAGGGUGAGAAUCCCGUGCGAUGAGAUGUCCAUUACCGUGUAAAGUGCUUUCGAAGAGUCGAGUUGUUUGGGAAUGCAGCUCUAAGUGGGUGGUAAAUUCCAUCUAAAGCUAAAUAUUGGCGAGAGACCGAUAGCGAACAAGUACAGUGAUGGAAAGAUGAAAAGAACUUUGAAAAGAGAGUGAAAAAGUACGUGAAAUUGUUGAAAGGGAAGGGCUUGAGAUCAGACUUGGUAUUUUGUAUGGCUUGCUUUCGGGCGGGUCCUCUGCAGUUUACUGGGCCAGCAUCGGUUUGGGUGGCAGGAUAAUAGCAUUGGAAUGUGGCUCUACUUCGGUGGAGUGUUAUAGCCUUUGUUGAUACUGCCUGCCUAGACCGAGGACUGCGUCUUUUGACUAGGAUGCUGGCAUAAUGAUCCUAAGCCGCCCGUCUUGAAACACGGACCA
rnacentral:rRNA from 1 species